AGAGAGCUUCUACUUCUUCAAGACAGAAGCUUUCUUCAAGACAUCAAGAAGAAGGUAUCAUCACAACAAAGUCAAGGAGGAUGGGACUCUGAGAUGUCUUCUGGUGUUGUGGGCCUGACUUCAUGAGCGUCUGUGCCUCCCACUGUGACCUCAAUGGGCUCUGGGAGAGAGGAAUCAAACCUGUCAACAGCUGCAGGAGGUAAGAGUUAUUACUCUGAAGGGCUCAGACAAGAGGUUUUGGAUACUGCUGCUCUGAACUGUUAAGAUUCUAUAAAUGCCUCACUGUCUGUCACUUGGCGGCAGCAGUGACACAUCAGAUGCUCAAAUCCCACAGCAAGUGUCCAGUUUUCAGAGAUUUCCUGGAGUAGCUACAGGCAACAAUCAUUUCUGGAAUAAUAUGAUGUGAGCCAACAAGUUAUUUGAAUCGAAUUCCACCCUGCUGAUAGCUAAUUAUUACACUAAAAGCAUGAAAAGGAACAGAAAUGGCUAGAACUGUUUUGCCCUUAAACCUUUCUCCAAAUCAAAGAGAUUUAGCAAAAAAGAGUUUUUUACAAAAUUAAAUUAGUGAUUGUACUUUUAAAAAAUAUGAUUCCCAGAUCAAGAUUAUUAAAAUAAAGAAUGUUAUGGUGGUGA